GAUGAACGCUAGCGGAAGGCUUAAUACAUGCAAGUCGAGCGGUAAAAAUCUGAGCAAUUGGAUUUGAGAGCGGCGCACGGGUGAGUAACGCGUACAUGACCUACCUUUAAGAUCGGGAUAGCCCUGGGAAACUGGGAUUAAUACCGGAUGUGAUAAUAAGUAUAGAGAUUUAUUAUUAAAGCUGAGGCGCUUAGAGAUGGGUGUGCGUCUGAUUAGCUAGUUGGUAGGGUAAAGGCCUACCAAGGCGACGAUCAGUAGGGGGCGUGAGAGCGUGAUCCCCCACACGGGUACUGAGACACGGACCCGACUCCUACGGGAGGCAGCAGUAGGGAAUAUUGGUCAAUGGACGGAAGUCUGAACCAGCCAUUCCGCGUGCAGGAUGAAGGCCUUCGGGUUGUAAACUGCUUUUGUACGGAACGAAACGGCGAGCUCUAAUACAGUUUGCUAAUGACGGUACCGUAAGAAUAAGCACCGGCUAACUACGUGCCAGCAGCCGCGGUAAAGCUACGU
rnacentral:rRNA from 1 species